rnacentral:rRNA from 1 species
UACGGAGGGUGCUAGCGUUGUCCGGAAUUAUUGGGCGUAAAGAGCUCGUAGGCGGUUUGUUGCGUCGGCUGUGAAAUCCCGAGGCUCAACCUCGGGUCUGCAGUCGAUACGAGCAAACUAGAGUGUUGCAGGGGAGACUGGAAUUCCUGGUGUAGCGGUGAAAUGCGCAGAUAUCAGGAGGAACACCGGUGGCGAAGGCGGGUCUCUGGGCAACAACUGACGCUGAGGAGCGAAAGCGUGGGGAGCGAACAGG